rnacentral:rRNA from 1 species
CUUGCCAACUAUAAGAGGUCCAGCCUGCCCAGUGACUUAAUUCAACGGCCGCGGUAUCCUAACCGUGCGAAGGUAGCGUAAUCACUUGUUCUUUAAAUGGGGACUAGUAUGAAUGGCAUCACGAGGGUUAAACUGUCUCCCCUCUCUAAUCAGUGAAACUGAUCUCCCCGUGAAGAAGCGGGGAUAUUUUUAUAAGACGAGAAGACCCUAUGGAGCUUUAAACCGCGCAACAACUGCUUUCCCACCUUAUACUUCCAGGAUAAUAAACUAUAUCUUAGCAUAAUGUUAACCGGUUUUCGGUUGGGGUGACCGCGGAGCAAAAAUUAACCUCCACGAUGAAAGAAACUUUAUUUCUUAACCCAGAGCUACAACUCAAAGUAUCAAAAACCUGACAUAAAUUGAUCCAUCUAUUUGAUCAACGAAC